CAAUAGCGUAUAUUAAAGUUGUUGCGGUUAAAAAGCUCGUAGUUGGAUUUCGGCGGACAGGGGGCGGUUCGAUAUUUGUCGCUACUGCCCCAUUUGUCCGUGUUUUUGGCGGAGGUUUCAGGGUGCUCUUCACCGAGUGUCCUGGGAUGCCGUCAGGUUUACUUUGAAAAAAUUAGAGUGCUCAAAGCAGGCUUUACACGCUUGAAUAUUCGUGCAUGGAAUAAUGGAAUAGGACGUCGUUUCUAUUUUGUUGGUUUUCGGAAAUCGACGUAAUGAUUAACAGGGACAGUCGGGGGCAUUAGUAUUCAGACGACAGAGGUGAAAUUCUUAGAUUGCCGGAAGACAAACUGCUGCGAAAGCGUCUGCCAAGGAUGUUUUCAUUGA
rnacentral:rRNA from 1 species